rnacentral:lncRNA from 1 species
AGACAUCAUUUGAUAUAUUGGGGUUUUUGUUUUUGGCAACUAAAGAAGCAGUGGAGCUAAAAAACAAAGCUAACUCAAAGAGUUUUAAGUUUUUUCCCAAAUACAAACAGAUAAAUAAAACUUGGUAUUAUUCAAAUCUCAGAAGUUUCAGAUUGUUCCAAAAGAACAAAGUAAGAAUAAGUGUGUAUAGCCAAACAACAAACAAAAACACAAACUUCUGAAUCUUUAAAACACCAAGAAAAAACAAAGAACCUAAGGCUUAUUUCAAACUUGUGAAGGUUUUCUUGGCUUUGUAUCACAGCUAAGAUUUCUGAGUCUGCUAGCUGGAGAAAAGUUUGUGUGAUUUAAAAAGAAAACACCAAAAAAAGACCAUGAAAGCAAAAGAGAAUAUUUCCUUUCUUUUUCUAACCAACACACACAUACACGCACAGAAAAAACACAGUACUUCUCUCUCUAUUAAUUCUCUCUCUCUCUCUCUUACAAGUUUUCUUGUUCAAUGUCCUUUUAUCUUUAUGUUGUUAUAUUUCAAAGUCGGUCAGCCAUAGAUUUAGCUGCUGGGCCACCUUUUUGUUUUGAUCUCUCUCUAUCAUAAAAAAAAAAAAAAGUUCGGUGAACAAAGCAUCCCGCAAUUUGAUAUAGGGUAUUGAAAAGGAUCGUACCUCAAGGGGUGUGAUGUAAUGCAAACAUUAAUGACUGUUUCUACGGCUAAAAUUCGUGACCUAUAAGUCAUUAAGGUCACACGAAAAUAACUUUACCGUUGUUCCAAGACUAGAAACUCUCCGUCAUGAAAUAUUUAUUUUUCAAAAGAAUACGUCCUUUUUAAAAUAUUUAUUUGUAUAUAUGUAGAAUUGGCUGUAUGCUGCUUGUAACCAGAAUGUGUAGAGCUCUGUGUCAUUUUGUAGUUUUUCGAGCUAAAUUCCAAUUAUCAAGACAGAUGAUAAUUUAAGAGGAUACUAAAAAAAUAGAAGCAAAAUAUUGUAACUACGAGAUUCAGAAUUUACAGCCACCGAAAUUGUCUCAAUGCCUCCCUGUUUGUUUUCUGUUUUUAUGUUUUCUUUUUGAGUGUAAUUUUUUUGUGAAAUGACGUGUAUUAAGAUAAUUACUAAUAUCAAGUCAGAUAUGGUGAUAUGAAAAAUGAAGUAAAUAACAUAUUAUAACAUAUUAAAAAACAUUAAUAAUUAAUGUGAAAAUACACAGUUAGCAUAUAUAGUUUUUUUUAUUAUUAAUUAGAGAAAUGAAAAUUUUAUGCAGCUUCUCAUUUUCUUCCUUUUAUUAUCUGCAUUUUCCAAAAUAAUGUUAAUGCUUAGCUCAUCCUUAAUUUAUAUUAUAUGUAACUUAGUUUUCUUCUGAUGCAAAACUCUCACACAUUAGACUCAUAUAUCAAUUUAUAUUAUGUAAUUAUAAAGAUCAACUAAAACAAAAACUUGCAGCUGCGCGCGUCCUACAAAAUGGUGUCGCCUUAUAAAACAUUGUUGAGACACAUGAAGGCGAAUUCGAGAGUUAGUGAGCUUUGAAUAAGUGUAAAUUUAUUAUAUGCACAUAGUUUAGUAUUUUUUUAUUAUAUAUAAAUAUAUUUCAAUAUAAAAGUAAUGAAUUUAAUUCAGUCUGUGAUUUAACAUUAUCAUAGGUAUGAGAAGGGCAUACGAAUAAAUUAUGUAAAGAUAUUUCAAUUUAUCUCCAACUAUAGUAUUUAUUGAUUUUCUAUGGUCAUCCUUUGGUCAAAUUAAAUUGUAAUAAUGAUGACAUUGCCAGAGUAGAAUGAGAAUAUUGGAGUAGAUAACGUUUUCGCAUUAAAUUUUGAACACAUUACAUAAGACAGAAAUACGCUGUUUUCAUCAUUGCUUCCAUUUUUAGUAAGUAUGACGCCAAGUCUCGUGGAGUAUAUCAUCGUUCCCUCUACAUUUUUAUUAGGUGUGAAAUGAGCACGCAUACUCUUGCAACAACAAAUAACAACAUACUCAAUAAUAUCAACAUUGUGGGGUCUCGGAAAAAAUAGUGUGUACGCAAAUCUUAUCUCUAUCCUUACAAUCUCUACUUUGUAAGGAUAGAGAUAUUAUUUUCAAUAGCCCCUCGGCGUAGGAAAGCAUAAGUACCACAUUAAUGAAAAUAUAGACAAGAAGGGACAGUACCAAGAAGCCAUAUAAAAGCAAAAUAAAAAUAAUCAGAUAGUAAGGUGAUCAACAAUGAAAGAAAACAACGGUUAGUCAUAAAAACCUACUACCAACAGAGAGCGAGGUUGCGUGCCAAUACUACUGUUAUGAACACUUUAGACUACCUACUCUACUACCCUAAUCCUCGAUCUCUAUACCUUCCUAUCAAGGGUCAUGUCCUCGGUCAUCUGAAGUUGCGCCAUGUCUUGCCUAAUCACCUCUCCCCACCUCUUCUUUGGCCCAUCCCAUCCUCUCUGUAGGCCCUCCAAUGUCAACCUCUCACACCUACUCGUCGGGGCGUUUGUGCUCCUCCUCCUCACAUGACCAAACACCUAAGUCGCGCUUCCCGCAUCUUGUCCUCAAUAGAGGCCACACCCACCUUGUCGCGAAUAACCUCAUUUCUGAUCCUAUCUCUAAUCUAGUAUGCCCGCACAUCCAUCUCAACAUCCCAUCUCUGCUACCUUCAUCUUCUGGACAUGAGCGAUCUUGACUGGCCAACACUCAGCCCCAUACAAUAUCGUUGGUCUGACAACCACUUUGUAGAACUUAGGUGGCACCUUCUUGUCAAACAUAAUACCGGAAGCGAGUCUCCAUUUUAUCUAUCCUGCCCCAAUACGAUGUGUGACAUCUUCAUCAAUCUCCCCAUCCUCCUGAAUAAUAGACCCAAGGUACUUAAAACUCCCUCUCCUAGGGAUGACCUGCGAGUCCAACCUCACCUCCCAUUUCCCUCCUUGAGUCUCGUCACUGAACUUACACUCCAAGUAUUUUGUCUUGGUCCUGCUCAACUUGAAACCUUUAGCACGCGUACUCUUAAUUUUCUUUUUUUCUUUGGAAUUAUAUAUAUAUAUAUAUAUAUAUAUAUAUAUAUGUAUGUAUGUGUGUGCGCGCGCGCGCGCAUAAGUACAUGCAAUAUAUACAUAGUGUUAUGGCUCAUUACUAAAUAAUAAAAUGGAUUUAACUAGGAAGUCUAGAAGAAAACGCAAUGAAUUGUUUCUUAUUUAUUGCAACUGAUAAAAAAAUUAUUGUUUUAGACGAUGUAUAUAUUUAAAAAAAUUGGGAGUUUACUUGGUCGCAGUAGUUACUUUACUAAAAAAAAAAUUAUAGUGGAGAUAGUCGCACGUAAUGACAUACCACGACCAUAUUAUUAAAAAAAAAUUCUUGUUGGAAUUCUAUUUAGUCCAAAUUGAAGUGAAAUGGAUGGAAGCUAAGUCAAAGUGUUUCUUCACUUCCACUGACUAAAUAUAUUAUCUCUAGAGUACUAGUAACUUUUUUUUUCUUUUACGUAUUUACUGUUCGGCUAAUUUGAAUUCACGUCUAGCAUAGCUCAUUAAAAAGUAAAUGCUUCCUACAAAUAAUUUAUUUGUUACCAACGCUCGCACCUUUGAUUAAUUAAGAACGAAGAAUCAUCCAUCCAAAUAUGCAUAUACUUUUUUAUAUAAUGGAUAUUCCAAUCGUCUUGUAGAUAAUAAUGGCUCUUUCCCGUACAGACAUCUAUUAUUAGUUGGUAUAAUUUCAUUUUCAGCAAUGCCAAAAAAAUAAAAUUAUAAUAAUAAAAUAACAGGUUUGCCUAUAAUGUAAAAGUGAUAUCUGCUUUUUCCACUGCGAAGCAAAUGAAUAUUUUCCAUUUUUAGUGAAGAGCAAAAGUAGUGUUCUCCACUUAAUUACUAAUCAAAUCAAAUACUAAUAAAGAAUGUAGUUAUAAAUUCCAAUUAUUAGUUAAAGGUCAAUAAAUUGAAUGUGCAUAUGUAGUGGCUGAAGAAAUGAUUUGCAGAAAACUUUAAUUCUAUGUUUAAAGAUUUAUUAAAGAAUGAGCAAUUAAUAGGAAAAAGAGGAAAUGAAAAUAGAAGAAAAUACUGGUGAGAAAAGAAUUUCACGGGUCUUGUAAUUACUACUUCCUCCUUUUCAAUUUGUUUGUCCUCGUUUGACUUGACACAAAUUUUAAAAAAGAGACGAAAAGUUUUAAAAUUUAUGGUCUUAAAUAUAUCAUAUAAUUUGUGUGGCUAUAAAUUUUUUUGAAACAUAUGGUCAUAAACAAGUCAUAAUAUUUGUUUGGUUAUAAAAACUUCUCAUUAAAAAAAUAUAAGAAUAUGCCAAACUUUUUUAAAUGGACUACAACAACUCAGUAUAAUACUCAAGCGGGAUUUGGGGAGGGUAGUGUGUACGUAGAUCUUACCUCUACCCUGGAGGAAAAUAAGUCGUUUUUGAUAAACCCUCGACAUAAGAAGAUGAAAUGAGACAAUAGAACAACAACAACAACAUACACCAGAAAAAUAAUACAAGCGACAACGAGCUAAGAAUCAGAAAAAAAAAAAAAAAAAAAAAAGCAAUAUCAAUUGUAAUUCUUUGACAAAGUGGACCAAAAAUGAGCAAAAAGGGGUAAAUUGAUGCGAUUGUGAUUAACUUUGUACAAACGUGUGAAGAAAAUUACUUUAAAAUUUCUUCUUCUUGGAAUUAACAAACUAAUAAUAUUAUAUUAUAUAAAAAUAAAAGUUGAAAUUUCAAAGUUCAAACACAAUGGAGAGUUGAAAUUUAUAAAAGGUAAGAAGAAGAAAAGUUUGGGACCUUUUUAACCCUUUUCCUUUCUUCUGAUCAACAUCAGGAAUAAAAUGAUUACAACAUAAUUAAAACAAUGGGGCCCACAUGAGCCAGAGCUACAAAUUAGGGGCCCAUCUGAAAAUUAAAAUAAAAUAAUAUAAUAAAAAAAGAGGAAAAUUUUGCAAUUCCCAAUGGUCAGUCCGUGAAUCUGUUCUUCGUGUGAUGCUGUCCCCGUCUGUAUAUCACAGUAGACUGAACAUGUGGGGUCCCUUCUGUAAUUUGGGUUUGUACUUUACACAGAAUAAUUUUUAUAGAAUAAUCUUGUGAUUGCUCAAAAUCAUAGCAAAAUAAAAUAAAAUAAAAAUUAAACCUCUUAUGUCGUGGUAAGAAAAUAGAUCUUAAAUCUAACUUUUUUUAUUUUUUCAAAAUUACCUGCAGUAUGUGAAACGCACUGAUCCAACUAAUCACAUCGUAAACGGCUGAUUUAAAGGGAAAACGCUCGCUUUCUACGAGAAAUUUUAUUUUAUUUUCAGAACUCGAAUAUAAUGCUUCUAAUUAAGGAUAAAGAAAUAACAUUCAUCAUUUUAUAUUACGCAAUUCUAUAAGCUAGCUUAUAAUGAGAUAAUUGUUCAAAGUUUUCAAAAACAAUUGUUUGAUUAAAAGAAAGAACUAUUCUUCUUUUUUCAAUACUAGAUAUUUGUCUCACUAUAUUUGUAUGUACUGUACGGCUGUGCCAUAUUUUUUUUAAAAAAAACAGCAGCUAAUUAAGUAGUAAAUAUUUGUCUCACUAUAUCACCAUACUUGCUUAUUGUUAAGACUGCGCUUGAAUUUUCUAACCCAAUUUAAUCAAUUUCCUAGUUAAUUAGGUCAGUUUCAUUAAUCAUAUUUCUUUAACUAUGAUGAAUAAUAUAAAACUAAUUGUAUAUGUUUCUCGUGUUCUCUCAGCUACAGAAUGUAAAUUAAUUAAAUGCACUAAAAUUAGAACACAUACCACUUGCACAUGAAACUACUAAAUAACAUUAUAGGUUAAAUUGUUAGCAUAUAUGCAUUAAUUAGUUAAUAACUUUUUAAGCAGUACAUAGAAUUCUUAGUGAAAAGAAAGUAAAAUUUACACUUGAAGAAAUCAUCAACUAUAUAUAUUUCCAUUCUAAAGAUAAUUAAGUAGAAGAGUUUUUAUAUUUCUUCCUUUUUGCAAAAUACAAAUAAACAAAUAAAAAAUAAUCCAAUCUGUUAGUUAUCAUUUUCAAAAUCCCUUUUGUUUCCAUUAUUACCCUCAUGAAAAUAACACAUUUAUGCUAUGAAUUUUGUCAGUACAUGCUUUGUUUAGGUUCCUGAUUGCUAAGUUCCUCUAUUUUCAACCGUAGAAUUAUUCCUAAUUUAAGGUAAAUAUUGUGGCAUUAAUAGAUGCCCUUUUCUGCUUGAAUGAUUGAGUUUGAUUUAGCAACAACCCUCCUAAUCUUGUGUAGAUGUCCUUAGCUCGAUAUGACAAUUUUUAUAUCACAAAUAUAGCACAUGAACAGUUAAUUCUUUUUCUUAGGGGUGAUAAUUUCCAAAUCACAAUCCUCAGAAUAUUUUAUUUAGACAUUCUUUUGAAUAAUGUGGGAAAUUUUUUUCUUCUGUUUAACAUUUCGGUAUCAUGAACCCACUGGCCCUAUUAGCCCAGAUUCAGCCCGUAGAAAGUCUAUUAUCCCGAGUUACGGUACUCUCCACUAGUUGUGGCAAAAUGGUUAAAAGAAAACAGUUAAUCAUUCAUAUUAUCCACUAAAAAAUUGGUUGGACAAUGAACUUUUUAAAAACGGGUCAAAUAUGGAUAAGAACCAUAUUAUCUAUUUAGAAAAUGGAUAACCAAUGGGUUUAACUUUUACAUUUGUAAAACCUCAAAACGGGGGUUCCUCAAGUUUUGGAGACUAGGAAUUCUCCCAAAAGUGAUCAUAUUCAAGAAGUCAUAGAUAAUUUAUUAUCCGCCGGUUAACUCAUUUUUUAUCCGUAUUAAAUAUGGGUUGGGUUGGAUCGGAUAAUUUAUCCAUUUUUAUUACCCGUUUUCGAUCCGACCCAUAUCCGAUCUCACCCGCCCGUUUGCCACUCAUACUCUCUACCAAAAAACACUUUAUUUUCAAGGUUCAAACUCGAGACUUUUGAAUAAAGAUACAAAAAACUUUUGUCACUUCAUCAAUCACACCCUUUUGUGGUAUGUGACAAACCUAUUUGUGAGACUUGUGGUCUUUAGGUGGUAAAGAAGAGGGGGAAAAUUAAAGAAACUAUACAUUUUGUAGAAGGUUUUGAAGCUUUUGAAAGACGAACGUUUUUCUAUUUUGUGCAUGCAUCGUUCACAAAUAAAAUCCAUUGGAAAUAAUGUAUGAGUUUAAAACUUAUAUAUGAAGAUUUUUUUACUGUCAGAUCACGUAAGCAAAAGAUUAUUACAGUUAAUUGCCUAUAAUAAGUGUAACUAAUUAUUAAAAAAUCAAAGCAGCCCGCUAUUACAUUGAAAAAACUUAUAUUAUCAAUAUUUAUAAAUUAAAUCCACAACAUAACAUCUAUACAAUACGUCCCUGCAUACACAUGUGUAUUAUAGGGUGAGACCUCCCAUUUCUUUUGACAUCGUAAAAGGGAAAAGAGCAUUGAUCAAACUACCCAUGCAACAUAUAACACUGCUAAAAAAAAUAGGGAUUAGUUACUAACAAAUCCGGUAGCAACUGAUGAUUAGCGAUAAAUUAUUUAAAAAAAUUAUUAGCUACGAGCAAUUUAGCAACAGAUCAGCAAUGAAGUUCGUAUCUAUUUUGAUUUUUUUUUUUUUGAAGUGUAACUCCCAAUAUUUUACAAGAAAAAGUGUCUAGAUCGUUGAUUGAGUUGAAGGUGGUCCACACCUUAGCAUAAUUCACUAAUAAAAUAUAAGGGACUAUACAUGUGACAUAAUUACACAAUAUGGUAUUAUGAGUCCAUAAUAUAUACUUAUAAUUCAACUGCUUUUGGCUCCAUGCACUCGGAUCCUACUACAACUGAAUUAUUCUCUCUUUUUUCCUAUAUAUUAUUACCCCACCUCUUUCUACCUACCCUACAAGAAGAAGAAAAAAAACUCAUACUUACGUGUGUAUCUGACUUCUUGAGCACAUUGUACGUUCUUCCUCAAUUUAUAUAUACAUCUCAUUCACAUGCACACGUAGGGACAUAUAAGAACCAAAGUUUCCCCAUAUUAUAUAAUGUACAGAUACAUACUCUUGAGUUUAACUUUUAUAUAUUGAUAGUACAAUAAAAUAUUCAAAUUAUUAGUUCAAAAGGUAAUUUCAAAUAAUGAUCCAUAAUAAGUGAACUUAUUAACUUAGAAAAUAUCGACAUAUAACGUGUUAUAACAGGCUAAAUACACCGAUAGGAUAAAAGAAGGGGAGUCUUAGAAUAACAGUCAAGUUGUCUCCGUGUGACUUAUAGGUCAUGGGUUCGAGUCGUGGAAUCAGCCAUUAAUGUUUGCAUCAGGGUCAGGGGCGGAUGCAACAUACAACUACUAGAUUCAACUAAACUCAAUACUUUCGACGCGUAGCAUAAAUUUAUAUGUAAAAAUUACUAAAUUUACAAUAGUAGUAAUUAUGAACCCAUAACUUUAAAAUAUAAUGGGUUCAAUGCUAAAAACUUUAAAUGUUGAACCCAUAAAAUUAAAAUCUCAGAUCCGACUCUUAUGUACGCUGCCUACAUCACACCCUCUUGGGUGUGACCUUUCCUCGAACCAUGUGUGAAUGCAGGAUACCUGUCUACAUUUAGGUGUGAAUACGAGAUACUUUGUGCACGUACUGGAUUGUCCUUACACUGAUAGGGUAAAAAUAUUAGUAUACUAUUAGUAUAUUAUCAAGGUGGUGGUGAGGAUAUGCGGGUAGUGUAAUAGAAUCUUCAAAUUAUCAGUUCAAAAGAUAAUUACAAAUUAAUGAUGAUCCAUAAUAAGUGAACUUAACACCUUAGAAAAUAUUGGCAGAUUACAUAUUAUAAUAGGUUAAAUACACUGAUCGGGUAAAAGAAAGGGAGCCUUUGGAGUAACGGUUGUUUCUGUGUGACCUAUAUAUAGAUCAUAUGUUCGAGCCGUAGAAUCAAUCAUUGUUGCUUGCAUCAUGGUAGGCUGACUACAUCACACUCCCUUAGAGUAUGAUCCUGUUCCGAACCUUGUGUGAACGCAAAAUAUUUUCUGCACCGAGCUAUCCUUUACACUGAUAGGGUAAAAAUAUUAAUAUAUUAUUAAGGUGGUGGUGAGGAUAUGGGAUGAGAUUUGGUUGUGUCCGACCACAUACGACAUCACUUGCACCCAUCCGUGGUAUAGAUUCCUUCCUUCACUCCCCAAUGCUCGUAAACAAAUAUCAAUCAUAUAUAAAAUAUAAUUUCUUAGACUCCUAUUAUACUUUCUCUCUUUUAUUAUGUUCACUAGAUGUGGUUUUGUUGGCUAAGAAUUUAGAUUUAUUUUCUUAUUUGUCAUUAAUAUAUUGAUCCUAAGAAUUAUUUGUUGAAAAUCGUAGCCCUUAAAACACGUUAUAGUGUAACAAUUUUCAAGAUACCUAUGUAGUAGGAAAGUAUAUAUAUGAUAUAGUACUACUUAUCUCU